GAGCGCGGCGAGCAGGCGGAGCUGACCCAGCAGCCCGGCCUUGGCCAGCCCGGCCCCCCGUUACCGUAAAUGCCGCCGCGCAUCAGCUCCUGUUACCGUAAAUACCGCUUCCUAUGCCUGUUCUGUACACUUGAAAGCCCCGUGACACACACCAGCUGAACGGAUAACGGCGACGGAAGCAAUGACUUCCGAUCCAGAAGGCCUUGCUCCAGCCGUGACCACCGCACACAACCCUUGCCAGCUUUGGAAGACAGUAUCUCCAGCAAGAUAGGCUUUGGUGACUGUUAGAUGACCUAGAAGCUCUUCUCAUUUAAGGCAGGAGGGGAAGCAGUAAGAAGCCAGUGCUGUGAAAUUGGAGGCUGUGCUGGGAUCGGUGCAAACACAAUUCUUCACUUACAUGAUGCAUCCUAACCACGUCCUUCUCCGGACUAUAUAAAUAGAUGAUUUGGCUACUUUUCAUGUUGCCCCCAUGGUAUCGCAACAUUAGGUCUAAUAAAAAGGAUUCUCGAAUGGCCAUUUCUUGCCUGCAUGUGAUCUUUAUCAUGGGUGCAGCCAUCUUGGCUGGAAACAGUAGCAACGACCAGCUGUGGCAAAGAAGACAGCCGAAGGCUUAGGGGAGCAACCACCAGCCGCUCCCGAGGCCCAGUGGCAAGUGAUGGAGGAAAGGCAGUGGCAGAAGGAAGGCAGAGAUGGAAAGCCGGGGUUGGAAGGAGGAAGCUAUGAAAAGUGAAAAAUUAAGAGGCUUUGAGCCGUCCCCCACCAGGGCUGAGGGCCCUGAUACACCAGGCCAGCUUCAGAUCUACACCCUCAUGGUAGGAGUGGGAAGACUCAAGUACUCGAGCAUCCUGAUACUAGCUGGCCCUAACUGCUGCUGGCUGUGGCUGUUGUUACUUAAGAGCAGAGUGUUUCGCUGGAUGCAGAGUGCCCGGCUGUUGGCCGUUGAACCCUGGAGGGGCAGCAAGGGCACCUGGAGACAAAAGUCUCUGACUUCUAAGGCCUGG
ensembl:lncRNA